UCGGGAAUUUUGGGCAAUGGGCGAAAGCCUGACCCAGCAACGCCGCGUGAGGGAUGAAGUAUUUCGGUAUGUAAACCUCGAAAGAAUGGGAAGAAUAAAUGACGGUACCAUUUAUAAGCUCCGGCUAACUACGUGCCAGCAGCCGCGGUAAUACGUAGGGAGCAAGCGUUGUUCGGAUUUACUGGGCGUAAAGGGCGCGUAGGCGGCGCGGUAAGUCACCUGUGAAAUCUCUGAGCUUAACUCAGAACGGCCAAGUGAUACUGCUGUGCUAGAGUGCGGAAGAGGCAACCGGAAUUCUUGGUGUAGCGGUGAAAUGCGUAGAUAUCAAGAGGAACACCUGAGGCGAAGGCGGGUUGCUGGGCCGACACUGACGCUGAUGCGCGAAAGCCAGGGGAGCAAACG
rnacentral:rRNA from 1 species